rnacentral:rRNA from 1 species
AUUGAACGCUGGCGGCAGGCCUAACACAUGCAAGUCGAGCGGCGGCGGGAAAGUAGCUUGCUACUUUUGCCGGCGAGCGGCGGACGGGUGAGUAAUGCCUGGGGAUCUGCCCAGUCGAGGGGGAUAACUACUGGGAACGGUAGCUAAUACCGCAUACGCCCUACGGGGGAAAGCAGGAGACCUUCGGGCCCUGCGCGAUUGGAUGAACCCAGGUGGGAUUAGCUAGUUGGUGAGGUAAUGGCUCACCAAGGCGACGAUACCUAGCUGGGCUGAGAGGAUGAUCAGCCACACUGGAACUGAGACACGGUCCAGACUCCUACGGGAGGCAGCAGUGGGGAAUAUUGCACAAUGGGGGAAACCCUGAUGCAGCCAUGCCGCGUGUGUGAAGAAGGCCUUCGGGUUGUAAAGCACUUUCAGCGAGGAGGAAAGGUUGGUAGCUAAUAACUGCCAGCUGUGACGUUACUCGCAGAAGAAGCACCGGCUAACUCCGUGCCAGCCGCCGCAGUAC